GACUGUGUGGUGUAGUGGUUUGAGUGUUGGACUAGGACUCUGGAGAUCAGGGUUCGAAUCUCAGCCUGGGCA
rnacentral:tRNA from 1 species